rnacentral:rRNA from 1 species
CCUUGACAUACUAAGAACUUUCCAGAGAUGGAUUGGUGCCUUCGGGAACUUAGAUACAGGUGCUGCAUGGCUGUCGUCAGCUCGUGUCGUGAGAUGUUGGGUUAAGUCCCGCAACGAGCGCAACCCUUUUCCUUAUUUGCCAGCGGGUCAUGCCGGGAACUUUAAGGAUACUGCCAGUGACAAACUGGAGGAAGGCGGGGACGACGUCAAGUCAUCAUGGCCCUUACGGCCAGGGCUACACACGUGCUACAAUGGUCGGUACAAAGGGUUGCUACCUCGCAAGAGGAUGCUAAUCUCAAAAAGCCGAUCGUAGUCCGGAUCGCAGUCUGCAACUCGACUGCGUGAAGUCGGAAUCGCUAGUAAUCGCGGAUCAGAAUGCCGCGGUGAAUACGUUCCCGGGCCUUGUACACACCGCCCGUCACACCAUGGGAGUUUGUUGCACCAGAAGUAGGUAGUCUAACCGCAAGGAGGACGCUUACCACGGUGUGGCCGAUGACUGGGGUGAAGUCGUAACAAGGUAGGCGUAGAUGA